rnacentral:rRNA from 1 species
GAUGAACGCUGGCGGCGUGCCUAAUACAUGCAAGUCGAGCGAACGGACGAGAAGCUUGCUUCUCUGAUGUUAGCGGCGGACGGGUGAGUAACACGUGGAUAACCUACCUAUAAGACUGGGAUAACUUCGGGAAACCGGAGCUAAUACCGGAUAAUAUUUUGAACCGCAUGGUUCAAAAGUGAAAGACGGUCUUGCUGACACUUAUAGAUGGAUCCGCGCUGCAUUAGCUAGUUGGUAAGGUAACGGCUUACCAAGGCAACGAUGCAUAGCCGACCUGAGAGGGUGAUCGGCCACACUGGAACUGAGACACGGUCCAGACUCCUACGGGAGGCAGCAGUAGGGAAUCUUCCGCAAUGGGCGAAAGCCUGACGGAGCAACGCCGCGUGAGUGAUGAAGGUCUUCGGGUCGUAAAACUCUGUUAUUAGGGAAGAACAUAUGUGUAAGUAACUGUGCACAUCUUGACGGUACCUAAUCAGAAAGCCACGGCUAACUACGUG